CUCGUUUUGUGAGGAAUGGGAUAUUCCGACUCCUUAAGGGCCUGGAGCACAUAAGGGCCACAUCUGCCAGAGCCUGGAGUCUGCGAAGGCCGGGACCCGGUUCCCCGGCCCGCCGUGGGGAGUGUGCAAACCCGAGAGAACUGGUCGCUGAAACCUCUACAACUUAGUUGACCGUAACUGCCAGAGCCCUGCCCUGAAUUCCUGUCCUUACUCCCUCUUUCAGAUUGCGUACCCACUGCAGAGGGCUGAAGACGGGGUAGCCACGAGGUUGCAAAUUCGUGAAGAAUCAGCAGCAUGUUUGGCAGCUGAGUAUUGGAGCCAGGAGCCUGCCAUGAGGUUUUGAGAACAGGGUGCUGUUUUAGAGCUGGCAGCAGCAUCUCAGCCCAAGAGAAGGUUAUAUUCCCAGAGGAUGUCAGUCCCAAGGACCAGUAGCUGCCAUCAGUUUGGAUUCUGAAAACUAACCGGCAUCAACAUUGGGUGUAGAAACAUGCUUGCCUUGUGUAUCAGAGGACAUGCUCAGCAGAUCCAAGAGAUAUAUUUGGCAACUUUUUCUAGAAAAGGCACAUUAGGUAUCAUUCAUUACAUUCUUGAGUUUUUUUGGGGUUUUUUUUUUUUUUGAGACAGUCUUGCUGUGUUGCCCAGGCUGGAGUGUGGUGGCACAAUCACAGCUCAUUGCAGCCUCAAUCACCCAGGCCUAAGCAAUCCUCCCACCUUGUAGCUGGGACUACAGCUCACAGCACACCUGGCUAAAAUUUUUUUUU
rnacentral:antisense_RNA from 1 species